rnacentral:tRNA from 1 species
GGGCGGUUAGCUCAGUCUGGUUAGAGUACAUGCUUGACAUGCAUGGGGUCACUGGUUCGAACCCAGUACCGCCCACCA